CCUACGGGUGGCUGCAGUGAGGAAUAUUGGUCAAUGGGCGGGAGCCUGAACCAGCCAAGUCGCGUGCAGGAUGAAGGUACUUCGUAUUGUAAACUUCUUUUGUCGGGGAACAAAGGCGCAGACGCGUCUCCGGAUGCGUGUACCCUAAGAAAAAGCAUCGGCUAACUCCGUGCCAGCAGCCGCGGUAAUACGGAGGAUGCGAGCGUUAUCCGGAUUUAUUGGGGUUAAAGGGUGCGCAGGCGGGAGAUCAAGUCAGUGGGAAAAGUUCGGGGCUCAACCCGGGCCGGCCGUUGCAACUGGUGUGCUAGAGUUGGAGAGAAGUAGGCGGAAUUCGUGGUGUAGCGGUGAAAUGCAUAGAUAUGACGAAGAACUCCGAUUGCGAAGGCAGCAUACCGGCGCCAUACUGACGCUGAGGCACGAAAGCGUGGGGAUCGAACAGGAUUAGAUACCCCAGUAGUC
rnacentral:rRNA from 1 species